GACGAACGCGGCGGCGUGCCUAAUACAUGCAAGUAGAACGCUGAAGGAGGAGCUUGCUUCUCUGGAUGAGUUGCGAACGGGUGAGUAACGCGUAGGUAACCUGCCUGGUAGCGGGGGAUAACUAUUGGAAACGAUAGCUAAUACCGCAUAAGAGUAAAUGUUGCACGACAUUUGCUUAAAAGGUGCAAUUGCAUCACUACCAGAUGGACCUGCGUUGUAUUAGCUAGUUGGUGAGGUAACGGCUCACCAAGGCAACGAUACAUAGCCGACCUGAGAGGGUGAUCGGCCACACUGGGACUGAGACACGGCCCAGACUCCUACGGGAGGCAGCAGUAGGGAAUCUUCGGCAAUGGACGGAAGUCUGACCGAGCAACGCCGCGUGAGUGAAGAAGGUUUUCGGAUCGUAAAGCUCUGUUGUAAGAGAAGAACGAGUGUGAGAGUGGAAAAGUUCCACCACUG
rnacentral:rRNA from 1 species